CCUACAGUCUAGCUGUCCCGACGCCUUGUGUGCUCACUUUCGUCUUGCCAAGGUUAUGUCUUCCUCCUUCACCCUUCUUUACAUUUGCUCAUUUCAUAUGCAGUAUUUUACUGAAUUGUGUGUGUUCCGUGUGCUGUGUCCUUUCUUCCUUACUAUUACUUAUUGUUGCUUGUUAUAUUUAUACCUUGUGUCCCGCUUAUCGUUGUCUCAUUGCUUUGUAUACCCCGGAUGGGUGCUGUCAUAUAUUUUUUCAUACCUAUUCUGGAAACCAUGGCAAAAAAUAUAUACUUAGACACAUAUCACUACUUUGUAUACCAAGGAUAAGAGCAGGAUAUGUGUUGUCAUAUCAUUGCUUUGUAUACUCAGGAUGUGUGCACUAGCUCUACCAAACUCACUUCCCUGCUUUCCUUUUUGUUGAAAGAACUGUGAGCUUAGUCCUGAACCGUAGUCCUGAACCUGCACUAAUUAUACUAAUCUUUAUUUUCACUUCAUUAUAUCACUCUGCUUUGAAUGGCUACAGUUUCAAGCUACCUCUGUAUUGAUGCGUAUAUGUUGUCGAGAGGAUCCAAUUUAAGUACUAUAAUGUAGCCAAUUAUUUCUUGGAUGUGGUAAACUUACACCUUCAUUCUAUUUUUAUUUUGCUCUUUUGUUGAGUACAUUUAGAUAUAAUUAGAAUCAUAGUAGCUUUUUGCUAACAUCUAAGGCCCUUUUUAAAUAGUUUGAUUUGGUGAGAAUGGAAUGUAUUUUGCCCGAGAGAGUACUCUUCCUUCAAGCAACAGAAAACAUAGAUGAUUUUGGUUUCAUCCUUUAAUUUUUUUUUCUUUCUGCACCUUUUGCAGACAUUAUAUAGUUCAACCGAGCCAUUGUGCUUAAUCAUCUUAUGUUGGUUGCUAUUGGUAUGUGGGAUAUGCAUCAAUGGAAUGAGCAGAGGANNNNNNNNNNCUUUUUGCACCUUUUGCUGACAUUAUAUAGUUCAACCGAGCCAUUGUGCUUAAUCAUCUUAUGCUGGUUGCUAUUGGUAUGUGGGAUAUGCAUCAAUGGAAUGAGCAGAGGAAUCCCCGAUCCUUCUACGACAUGUUCGAGAAGGGUCAGCUCAGCGUCAUUCUCGAGGAGCAAUUGGGUGCAGCCUUGCAAGGGCGCAUGAGGCUGGGCCUCCU
rnacentral:lncRNA from 1 species